rnacentral:rRNA from 1 species
AAGUCGUAACAAGGUUUCCGUAGGUGAACCUGCGGAAGGAUCAUUAUUGAAUGAAUGUAGAGUCGGUUGUCGCUGGCCCCUUCGGGGGCAUGUGCACGCCUUCUCUUUCAUCCACACACACCUGUGCACUCGUGAGACGGAAGCCCUCGGGCGUCCGUCUGCUCUACAUAAACUCAUAUCUAUAAUUUGAAUGUAAUUGAUGUAACACAUCUUUAAACUAAGUUUCAACAACGGAUCUCUUGGCUCUCGCAUCGAUGAAGAACGCAGCGAAAUGCGAUAAGUAAUGUGAAUUGCAGAAUUCAGUGAAUCAUCGAAUCUUUGAACGCACCUUGCGCUCCUUGGUAUUCCUUGGAGCAUGCCUGUUUGAGUAUCAUGAAAUUAUCAAAAUAAUUCUUUCGUUCAUUCGAUUGAAUUUUAUUUUGGACUUGGAGGUCUGCAGAUUCACGUCUGCUCCUCUUAAAUAAAUUAGCUGGAUCUCAGUGAGCUCGGUUCCACUCGGCGUGAUAAGUAUCACUCGCUGAGGACACUGUAAAAAGGUGGCCGGGAUUGCGGAUGAACCGCUUCUAAUCGUCCAUUCGCUUGGACAACAAUACUUUAUGAUCUGAUCUCAAAUCAGGUAGGACUACCCGCUGAACUUAA